UGUGUAUUCAGUCUUAUAUAAUUGGACAGACAUUUGUGUAAAAUUUCAGUCUUAAUUUUAUAUUUGUAACACUCAGUUUGUGGAUUUUAUUUUAAAUAAACGAAAAUAUGGUACUGAAAGUUUGACACCCCCCCGAUUAAUUGAUUAAUCCAUUGGGAUCAGCCAACUAAUCAUUCAUUGCAGCCCUACUGUAAUCAAAUCUUGUUUUCAAAUUUUAUAUUUAAGCCUGAAAUGUGUACAGACUGAGAAAUAUUCUGGAAGGCAGAGAACAGGAAAAAAUACAAAUGAUAAAUCUCUGGAGAAAGUUCCCCAGAUGCUGGAGUUUAGCACGUGGGUCGCUCUGUUGUUGUCGUUGCCUCUGUCCUCAGGGGUCCAGCCCCGCCCACUGAUUCUCAACAUGCUACACUUCUCUGUAGCUCUCGUAUCCUCAGGAAGAAGAGGUUGACCUAUCUGAUAUCAUGAAGGAAACAAUGAAGUCAGCGUGGUCCGAACUGUGUGUGUUGCUGUGCAUCUUAAAGGACAGUGUCAGGGCCUGGUUGGAACAGAACCUGUAGAACAAUGAUUAGGUGUGGCUAAAAUGGAAAUUUUCUGAAGGACAGAACAGACAUGUUAUUGUUCUCGUUUUGGUUAUGACUUGUUUGUUCAUUGGAGAUAGUUCAGGUCCAAGAAUUGAUAAUAGUUGUAUAUUUGCAGAGCAGGAACUGUUCUUAUCUUUUAAUUUCAUUUCGAACAGAAGGCAUUUCCUUUGUAAUAGUGCACCCUUUUUUGCUACAGAUCCUGGACUUGGACACUCAAGGAAUUUUUGCAACAUUUUGUUUUUAAAAUGAACUUGUGAAUUGUGGCAAAUGUGUGUGUCCUUCACUUGAAACAUUUUCGACUGAUUUGCUCUUACUUUCCGAACAUCAUCAUUUGUAUCCUGCACCACUUUUUCCUCCAUCCUCCUGUUUGUUUUUCAGUAAUGGACUCCACAAAUCUCACUAAGGCUAUGAAUAAAGAGUUGACACCAAACUGUCAGGGCGGCAGCUCUGGGCUCUCUGCAACGCCUGAUGGGAAGGCGGGUGUGAGGAAGAGACCAGAUGCCCUCCAAAAGCUCAGACCUAAAAAUGUGUGAUUUAUUUAUGAGUGAGCACAAUGCUUUGUAACCACAGCCAUGCCUGAUAGUCUGCAGAGGAGUGAAGCCAAAGUCUUAGCUUCAUUGUAGAUAAUUUGUUCUAAUAAAGGAAAGAAUAUGAAGUAAAACAGACAGGACUCAUUAGUGGUGCUUAGCAAAUCAAGUUUUUGCAAACUUAAAUGUACACUUCUGCCUGAGAGAUGGCUUGGAUGAUUUUUGUAGAAUCAGCCUGCUAGAUUUGCUUAGGAUUGUGCAGUGUACUGUAAAAUUUAUAUAACCCUACAUCUGUUUCUUUGAAAUGUAUUUAUUCUUUCUCAAUGUAGAGUUUAUGCACUGUAGACUCAUGACAUCAUCGGUCUGCAUGUGGUUUUGCUUAUUUUGAGCAUGCCUGAUAUGUUAGCUAUAAAAGUAGGUCAUAAAUAAUAAUAAUAAAAAAGAAUAAUAAUAAGUGUUAUCAUCCAAAUCUACUAGAUCUGCACUUUUUACCUGAAAGACAGAGUGAAAGGAGGUUUGUCACCAUUAAAGCAGCAGACAUGUUUUUAAAAUCAACAGGCAUUUUCUGAAUUACUCAGCAGAACAACGGGCCUGCUUCAUUCUCCGAGUGCAGUGGCAGCUGCAGCUUAUUUUUGCAAAAAAUAGAGCAUAUAAAUGCUGUAUCAAAUAGCACGACCUUUCCAGUUCCAGUUCACUGGAAUUUAAAUUGUGUUUGCUUUUGGUUUAUGCUGUGUAUGUGUGUAUGCGUGUGUGUAUGUGUGUGUGUGUGUGUGUGUGUACGUGUAUGUGUGUGUGUAUAUGUGUGUGUACGUGUAUAUGUGUGUGUGUGUGUGUGUGUGUGUGUGUGUGUGUGUGUGUGUGUGUGUGUGUGUGGAAACCUUAUAAUAAAGGUUUCAGAUGAAAGCUAUCCUUGCUGUCUUUGUAGCCAGUUAACCCUAACCCAGUUAAUCUGUAGUUUCAUAUCACUGAAAUGUUCUUACUGCAUCAUUUGAGUGUGAAGAAAACAAGUAUUUCUGUUAAAAAACAUUAUUGUUUUAGAGCACACUUUCUUCAUUUCUGGCCCUACGAUACGCGCUGCAUUCUCAGGAAAUGUGCAUCAUUUAAGUAGCUUGAUUGAAAAUGCUGGAUACAGAGUAGAACUUGUGAGCACUCUGCAUCCAUCACACAAAUUAGGAACAUUUAUAUGUUCAGCACCGUCACUGUUUUGCAUAGAGGAUUUAACUUCACUUACGAUACUACAGGAGGUUGGGUCACCAAGAGAAAGUCAAGAGUCAAUCCUCCAAGACUAACAGGUUUAAGGUUCUUAAAGAAAGGUAAUCGCAUUAGUGUUGACUGUGCUCAGGGACUCCCAUUUUACAAAGAUUCACUGACAAAUGUGUGUCUGAAAGUGCAGAUGUUCUCAGGUAGAAUAAAGGACAUAGAGGUUAAAGCGUUCCUUCUUUCAUGAAGGAUUUACAUUAAAGCAACAGAUUAUGAAGGUAUAAUGUUUCAGUUUAGACCGACCGUGAACUUCUUGUGCAACGAAGGAGUGAUGCCUAGAUGCUUAACCAUUAGUGAUUAGUUCAUGGCACUUGUGACUCUCAACAGAUUUUGAACUUGAAGUAGAAAAUAAUUGCAUACUUCCCAGCCAUCUUUAAACAUUUUGUUUUUCAUUGUCCACUUUUUUAUUUAUAUCCAGCCAUGUUGUCAUUUCACUAAGCAGACCAGAGAUGGGAAGUGAAAUUUCAAGAAAGAAAAUUAAAUUGAACACUCUUUUCUUUCUAGUCUUCAUGCAACACAUGCAACAAGCCGCAACAAAGGAUCUGCUACACAAGCCGAGCAGGUUCAUGUUUAAAACUACAGACUACCAUCGUGUUUUUCAUACACUGAUCAGUUCUAAUGCAGUAUUUUGGUACUAGAGUAUUUAGCUUUAACAGUUUUAGUACACUACACACCGGAAUCCAAUUUAGUACACUACACACCGGAAUCCAAUUUAGUACACUACACACUGGAAUCCAAUUUAGUACACUACACACUGGAAUUUAGUACACUACACACCGGAAUCCAAUUUAGUACACUACACACUGGAAUUUAGUACACUACACACCGGAAUCCAAUUUAGUACACUACACACCAGAAUCCAAUUUAGUACACUACACACUGGAAUCCAAUUUAGUACACUACACACUGGAAUUUAGUACACUACACACCGGAAUCCAAUUUAGUACACUACACACCAGAAUCCAAUUUAGUACACUACACACUGGAAUCCAAUUUAUUACACUACACACCGGAAUCCAAUUUAGUACACUACACACUGGAAUCCAAUUUAGUACACUACACACCGGAAUCCAAUUUAGUACACUACACACCGGAAUCCAAUUUAGUACACUACACACUGGAAUUUAGUACACUACACACCGGAAUCCAAUUUAGUACACUACACACCAGA
ensembl:lncRNA